ACAAGCAGCGGAGCGUGUGGUUUAAUUCGAUGCUACACGAAGAACCUUACCUGGGUUUGACAUAGAGGUAGUAGGGAAGCGAAAGCGGACCGACCCUUCGGGGAGCCUCUACAGGUGUUGCAUGGCUGUCGUCAGCUCGUGUCGUGAGAUGUUCGGUUAAGUCCGCUAACGAGCGCAACCCUCGCUGUGUGUUACAAGUGUCACACGGUACUGCCGAUAUUAAAGUCGGAGGAAGGUGGGGAUGACGUCAAGUCAGCAUGACCUUUAUAUCCAGGGCUACACACACGCUACAAUGGCCAGUACAAUGGGUUGCCAAGCCGCGAGGCGGAGCCAAUCCUAAAAAGCUGGCCUCAGUUCAGAUUGCAGUCUGCAACUCGACUGCAUGAAGUUGGAGUUGCUAGUAACCGCAGGUCAGCAAUACUGCGGUGAAUACGUUCCCGGGGAUU
rnacentral:rRNA from 1 species